rnacentral:pre_miRNA from 15 species
GCUGUCAUCUCUAAUAUGAGGCGCACUUGCCAAGAACUCUCUCUGUGACUUGUGUCCUUUUUUUCGAAACUCACAUCACAGUCUGAGUUCUUGCUGAGAGCGGGAAUCCUCCAAUCGCAUCAAGG